CACGUAGGGGGCAAGCGUUGUCCGGAAUCAUUGGGCGUAAAGAGCUCGUAGGCGGCUCAGUAAGUCGGGUGUGAAACCCUCAGGCUCAACCUGGGGACGCCACCCGAUACUGCUGUGGCUAGAGUCCAGUAGGGGAGUGUGGAAUUCCCGGUGUAGCGGUGAAAUUCGUAGAUAUUCGGAAGAACACCAGUGGCGAAGGCGGCUCACUGGACUGGUAUUGACGCUGAGGUGCGAAAGCGUGGGGAGCAAACAGG
rnacentral:rRNA from 1 species